UCAUCACACUGUGCAGCAUCUGAAAACCUAUGCCUUCGAGGGACUUAGUACUUUGCUUGGCUCCAUUUUGUCUUCAAACAGGAGAACAGCUUGAGUGGCUCUCUGCAAUAUGUCACCUAGAAGCAGGAAGCCAUUCCGAACCCACGUGUUCCCAGCACUGAGUCAUCUCUAAAUGUCCUGAGCUUUCCAAUGACCUUGCUGACAGAGCAAGUCAAAGUCAGGAAGCAGAGAAAGAAUGAAGAGUCUGACCAGGAUGAGAAUCAUCAUGUAUACUGGCAUUGGGGAACCUUGGCUGUGACCUGGAUCCCUUUAGACAAGGUCUAGAUCCAGCCCCUAAAAGAGCUGUAGGGUCAUUUGGAAGACAGGAGAAUUCUAAUCAAGUAAGAACUCAUCACUCACUCAUCAAUAAAUUGGAAAGGCCUGGAAACAAAAGCACCACAGGAGCGAUGAGUUCACUUGGUGCGCAGGUCAUGCUGUCUGCAUUCCUUCUUUGGAGAAAUGCCUGAUUACAGUCCUGGGAAUGCAGGGCACAGGUUCACGUAUGUGCCUAUGGGACAUCUUAAACCAGGAGAAAAACCUUUGUAUUUCUGGGGACAAAAACUUCACAAACCUGGCACUCACAUAGUAUGCUGAUCCAUGAUUUCAGGAUUUUCUACUCUGCUGACCACUGCUACCUUUCCAAAUGCCAUCGUAGAGAUGUCUUCUACACGGUUUGACAAACUGAGCUGAUAAAGAAAGUGCCUCCCAAUCACAGAAUAUCUGGGAAGACUUGAAGCAAAAGCACGUUCUAAGUGAAUAGUUCAAAAAAUACAAAGAAGUCCCUAGGGAACUAAAUAAGAGAAAAAUCCCUUCCAGUGACAGAUAAGCAAGGCUGAACCCACAUGGCCCAUGAAUAGAUCCCCACCGGAUGGACCUAACAGCUGGGGUUUGACACGAGAGCUGAAAGGAGAUUUAGAUUUGUAGGUACCAUGUGUGGAGGGAGCUAGAAUCGCCCAUAUAAAGCCAGGAGUCUGAAAUGGCCAUGUUGUUCCUAAAACUGGCUCUAGAAAAACAGGCUGAGGGACUUAGAACAAGAGGGACUGCUGUGGGCACUAGACACAAGGUGUCAUCUCAGAGAAGGGGGAUUAUCAGAAGGGGCAAAUGCAAGAUAACUGGCACAAAAAGCAAUAUACAUAGUAUGUGAUCAUAUAGAAAAGGCUAUUGGGUAGCUUGGAACAAAGUCUUGAGAGCGCAUUAAAUACAGAUUCAAAAUUAAUCUGAACAGAAGUAAAGAUGAUCUGUUUCAGCAAACUGUAAAAGACGCAAAAAGUGGUUCAGUGGUGACAAUCCCUGAUGUUGGAUAUGCUCAUUAGAAAUUUGAAUAAAGUGAUUUGAGAUGUGAGUGAAGGAAAAAG
rnacentral:lncRNA from 1 species